rnacentral:rRNA from 1 species
UACGAAGGGGGCUAGCGUUGCUCGGAAUCACUGGGCGUAAAGCGCGCGUAGGCGGACUCUUAAGUCAGGGGUGAAAUCCUGGAGCUCAACUCCAGAACCGCCUUUGAUACUGAGAGCCUUGAGUCCGGAAGAGGUAAGUGGAACUGCGAGUGUAGAGGUGAAAUUCGUAGAUAUUCGCAAGAACACCAGUGGCGAAGGCGGCUUACUGGUCCGGUACUGACGCUGAGGUGCGAAAGCGUGGGGAGCAAACAGG